ensembl:lncRNA
CCUUGCCGUUCACACAUCCACUGCCCUUUCGUCAGCGUUUGUUAUUGAUCGAGUGUUUACUACUGCUUUACUUUACCUUUCAUCUUUAUUCAUCGUACAAUCUGCACCAGGUGUUGUUGUUGCUGGAGCUGGUUCCUUGUUGACCAUGGACCCCGGGUCUCCGGGCUCCGGCCCAGGUUCCAGCCCGCAUGGCCCAGAUGUACAACGAGUUGAGUCCCUGUCCGACACCCUGCCUUCGCCGGUGAUCGAUCACAGCCACUCAGCGACGCUUGUGGCUUCCCAGCUGCAGCCUCAGCCACGAGCCCUUCAGUCCGGGCUCUGGCUGAAGGCCCUGCACCUCCUCCUGGCCCUGAAGGGGCUCGUCUGCUCCUUCCCGUGGGUCCAGCAGGUGCUGCAGCUCCAGAGAAGCCUGUUGAGGAGCUCUG